rnacentral:rRNA from 1 species
UACGAAGGGGGCUAGCGUUGUUCGGAUUUACUGGGCGUAAAGCGCACGUAGGCGGAUUGUUAAGUUAGGGGUGAAAUCCUGGAGCUCAACUCCAGAACUGCCUUUAAUACUGGCAAUCUAGAGUCCGGAAGAGGUGAGUGGAACUCCUAGUGUAGAGGUGGAAUUCGUAGAUAUUAGGAAGAACACCAGUGGCGAAGGCGGCUCACUGGUCCGGUACUGACGCUGAGGUGCGAAAGCGUGGGGAGCAAACAGG